CCCCAUACUGAUCACACCCCUAAACUGAGCACACCCCCAUACUGAGCACACCCCGGCCCCGUUUUCCGUUACAGGAUAGAGAAGUCCCGGUGGCGGAGAACAGCCCAAGAGAGGAGAGAGACCGGCCCGCGGAGUGAUCUGUCCCGCAGAGGAGAGGAGUGCGGCCUAGGCAUGGAGAGCGGAGCGGAGCCACGAGACAGGGUCCUUGAGGAACCCAUUUCUUUAUCACAGAAUGUGGUCAUCAGAGAAUGUGGCAGCACUGACCAUGAUGCGCCACAAGCAAGAAGUACAAAACCGGCAGAGAAAAGAAAGGAACACCACCCCUCUAAGUCUUCCGUUGUUCCCACCUCCCACCAACGAUCUUCCCAAAGUUCCUCCGGAGGGGCCUUAGAUCUUCAGGCUGUGGUCGGAAGGCCUAGUUCAUCCAUCUCCGGAAUGACCGUCCCAAUACGUUUGGACGCUUUGUCCUAUCUUCUUAAUAGCGCAGUCAUGGGAAACUACAGAAUGCCUUACCAAACACCGUACUGCCCACCUUCAUAUCCGAUGUGCUCUUACCCUCAGGUGGGAUGUUCUCCCUAUGGCAUGUGCAUGGGUUCUCAGUAUUGCUCCUCAGCCUUACCAAACCAGUAUCCUGGCUACCAGACAGGGCUUUCGGCUUAUGGGAACCAACAAAAUAUGCAGGCAUACCAGCAUCCAGUGCCAAAUUUUAACCAAAGUAUGGGUGAUGCAUCACAGAUCCAGAAUACUGGCACCUUUCCUGGUGUUAACCCCCAAGGUGGAAUGGCCUUUAAUCCAACGGGAAUGGCCUUUAAUCCCACUGGAAUGGCCUUAAACUCUACUGGAAUGGCCUUCAACACUACUGGAAUGGCCUUAAACUCUACUGGAAUGGCCUUAAACUCUACUGGAAUGGCCUUUAAUUCUGCCGGAACUACCUCAGCGCAAAACAUUAGUGGAGCUUCCCAACCAGAAUCUAACAGCUGGGCCAAGAAACCCUUUGAGAAAGCUGGAACUAGUGAAAAGUUUGGAAACAACUGGAGCAACUCAUUCUCUUCUGAAAAUGAGAAGCAAAGCUCUCCGCGAGGUGGGAGGUUUGCAGAAAGAAAUGAAGACCGAAGAGGUUUUGGGAGGUUUGGAGAUAAUAGGAAUGAGGAUAGCUGGUCCAGUAGGCAACAGUCCAACAGCUUUGGCAGAGAUUUCGGCAGGGGCAGAGGAAGCUUUGGUGGCUCCUCUUGGAGAGGUAAUUCUAGAGGACAGAAUAAAGAAUGGACAUUUGGAGACAGGUCCCGUAACGCCGAUUUUGGCAAUAAGAGGAAAUUUGGUGAGAGUCCCGAAAGGUCCCAAGACCAAGGAACUUUUUCUAAACGCGGUCAAUGGUCAGGCGGCAGAGGAAGAGGUAGAGGAAGCUCAGACUCUUGGCAACAGAAAAACAGGCAACAGGACUCACAGUUGUGGUCUAGCGCAGCAGAUACACCAAGCACAUCGAGCUUCGGCCAAGAAACCAAAACAGCUGUUCAAUCUGAUGCUGGAGACGAGGACUGGGAAACCGAUUAUCCAGAAAAAUCCACAGCUUCUAAAUUGGGGGACACAUCCGAAAAACCAGUUGCGCAGUCGCCUGUGCCAUGUUCACCGAAAAACAACUAUGAAAAAGUUUAUGAAUCUGGUGAGGUCCUUAAGCCAGCCGAAGGUUUCACAGAAGAGCUCACCAUAGUUCCUGAGACUGAAGAACCACAAACAGAUGUCAUUUCGGUAAAAAGCGACGCAACAGUGGAGCUGGAAGCGAAGGCAGAAAUACAAGGUUCUGCUUUAAGCCCAGCUAUUACUUCUGACCAAGAUGAUGAGAUCUACGCCUUUAUCGUCACUGUCGAUGGAGAGGAGGACAAAGGUGUUCUGGUGGAGGUCAAUGGAAACAAUACUUAAACAAGCAAGGGCAAGGUCUUACAAAAUUUGUAAUUUUCCAAAGAUUUACAAUUUUCUUUUCAUUUUAUCUUGUUUUAACUUUUAAGCAUCUUUUUCCCAAUUUUUUUGGAUGACUGUUAUCACCACAUUCACAUUCAAAGGACGGGGCAUUUGGCUCAUAGACUUAUGUAGCCACCUUAUCUACCUAGUUAGUACGUUAAAAACAUAAAGAGUAUUGUGAUUUCCCUAAGUGAACUUUGUUACAAGUUUAUGUUUUUUAAUUUUGGAAGUAGAUCUUGUACGACCUAAUGGCCAUCUUCACACCAUGCUUCCCAACACAAAAACAUGUUUAAGGUUCCAAUGACUUCUCAGUUGGGUUUUUCAGUUGCAGAAUGUAUCAGGAGUGAGCCCCCCCCCCCCCCCACAAUUUAAAUCCAAGGUAGGUGGAACAUGCCUGAGAACUAAGGCAUUGGAUUGUACCACUAAACGCCCAGUAGAUCCAGCUUACUAGCAGAUGCCAAGAGUUGAAAUUUCAGUUUUGGUUGAGGUUGGCUCUUUACGUCUUAAAGCGGGAGUUCACCCAUAAAUGCUGUUUUUUGCUCUUUUACCCUUAGAUGG